rnacentral:tRNA from 1 species
GGGCGGGUGGUCUAGCCUGGUUAGGACGCGGCUCUCACACAGCCGAGGUCGAGGGUUCGACUCCCUCCUCGCCCAC